rnacentral:lncRNA from 1 species
GAACCAAUUACGAUAAUCAGAACAGGGAGUUACGAUAAUUUGAAAUCUGUUUAAAGAAAGUUUUGAAACAACCAUAAUAUGUCUUUCCAAAGACAUGUACAUUGAUACGUUUUUCUAACAUAACAAAAUAGAAGUGUAAAUCGUACAAGACACUGUCCCCACAUAUUUUGAACCAUGACACGAAUCAAAAUCCUGUGCGCCAGCAUAAGCAUCCCUACUGGAUCUGGAUGCCUAUUUUGCAGCGGCAUAAGCAUCCCCAGAUGCAUGACCAAUGGCCGGUGGUCAAAUUGAAGUUGAUGCAGAACACAUAUUAAUAGCUGUCCUCAAAUAUAAUGAAGUCAAGCAGACAUGGCCUAAUAUUUGUUCAAAUGCCUUUCUCGCCUGAAACAUCAUGAUAAGAAUAGUAAGUAUUAUGGUUUUCUCUGGAACCAGGACAUACAGAAAAUUGUAGAUCGGCAUAAUGACCAUAAUCUUUUCUCUAGUAUCUCUUUCAAUUAAAUUCUUACGUACAUAAAAAGUAGAGUAUAUGUGAAAUAGAUCAUCAUGCCACACCUAUUUAAAUAUAUACUUGAUUGUAUAUUUAAAGGCUUCAGAAAUGCAGUUUCUGUAUAUCUAUAGUGCGAUAGAUUUAGCACUAUGAUGAUUAGAACGAAUAAUGAAAAUAAAUAGGAGUUACCAAAAUUUGUUAAACGUUUUACUAGAAAAUAUAUGCCAUUGUCACUAUAAUUUAUGACUUGCUAUCCUUGUGAAUUGACAACUGAUUUACAAGAAUUUAGCGCAUGAUUUACAAGAUUCAACCUUGCAUGUGAAUUACUAUAAUGCAUGCCUUCCUGUCCUUGUGAAUUUGACAUUAUGGUUUACGAUAACUUCAUACAUGAUUUACGGAAUCUAUGCUCUUGAAAUUUUAGAGUUGUGUAAUUUAACAUUGUCAAACCUGCCAUGGCAUAAAAUUGUUCAGAUGUUAUGAUCACUACAACAAUUCCCAAAUCUCCAUGCCUAACCAGAUCAGCAAAAAAACACUAAUAAAAGUUGAUCUACAGUGAAGCAAUAAUAUAUGGCAGUCAACUUAAAUGGACAAAAAAUCCAAACUACUCUGGCCAGCGAGGUAUUAAUUUUCAGUACCCACGAAAGUGAGAAAUAAAAAAAAUCUCUCUAUGAGAAAUACUACUACUACUUAGCAACAUAGGAUCCAUUGCUGGUGGACAAGUGAAGCUUACGACAAUUUCGUAAUCUCCUACAGAAUCAUGAUUGCAUUCCGAUCGCAUACAGUUUAAUUACUCACCAGCUCUGAUGAAAGAACCUAUUAGAAAUACAGAACCCAAAGCAUCUUGUGCUAUGCAAUAACAAUUUCUACUCAUCAAUCCAGCCAAAAUAUUAUGAUGAGCUAUAUCACGAUCAGAUAUGAAACAAAGGUGUUCGUUCAAACAAAAAAGAUCUAAAACAAAAUAAAUUUAUUAUAGGAUUAGUGCUAGUAUGGAGCGGCUCACCUGGAUAGGCUGCAUACAUUUUUCUUCACAACUGUUCGUCGGAAGCUUGGAGCAGUGCGGUUCGAGCCUUUGAGGUAUUCACGACGUAACUUACACAGGUAACAAAUGGGUAUUAUGAAUAUAAGUUUUUAUGGAAAUUUUCGACUAUGGUUGACGAUAAAAAUUAAUAAGGAUGAUCAAAAUUACCAUAAUGAAGAUAGGGAGCUACCAGAAUUUAGGGUCAUGGUAUUCUGAUGCUACUCAAAUCAGGAGCACAAUAGGCUGUUAAGUAAUUACAAUAAUUGGAAUCAAUAAUUUAGUUAGGGACUAGCCAAAAAUUUUCCUCAGAUGAUAUCGAUAUAUUACAAUAUAUUUAUGUCCUUUAUAUAUGAAUCACUAUAAUCUAUUCUGAUUAUACUAUAUUUGUUCUCUGUUCAUAAAUAAUACAAAAUCAAAGGAUCUGACAUUCAAAAUUUUGGUUUAAAAAAAACAGCCAGCUAACACAACCUAAAAUCAAUAGGAUCUACAAACCUUCACACUCUAGCUAAUGUGGCCAAUAGAUCUGUAAUAAUAAACAAUAUUUGAACCUACGGGAGUCACAAACAGCUACCACUACCAAAACCCAGAUGGCUAAUCGGACAAAUGGAAUUAACUAAGUGACUGAUGAAUAAUUAAUCAAGAAAUUACCAUAAGAAAUCGACGGUCUUCCUACACUCGUGACUCUGAUUCAGACAAAAAAUAUCAUAAAUACCUCUCUGAUUUACGACAAACAAAGUUACAAUAAUUAAGUAGCAUGAAUAGGAACAUGUAUUGUGCUUGAUCUAAAAUACGGUAUCAUUAGAAUAUUGGUUCUGGGACUAUUAAUAAAAUUGCUAAAACCAUGCACACUGAAAGAACUAACAGGGUUCCUGAAUCUGAAUACGAACCAAAAUUGUGUAAUCUGGUAAGGUUGAUUUUCAGAAAACAUGAGUAGAACAUGAACUCCAGAAUGGCACCGGAAGAGAGAACGGACGCUCCGUCGUCACCGGGGAAGAAGCUGCUGUGGAGCGCAGGGCGAGCCACACCGUCGCCUCAAGCCCCAUCCUCCACUGGUUGGGGAUGGGAAGCCACGCACGGCCAGGGGCCGCCGUGCCCGCCGGUUGGUCGUGCCGCCGCGCCCGUGGGGAGCAGAUCAGGGCGGGGAGGCGGAGGGCCGGCCACCGACGCCGCCAGGAAGGUGAAGGAGCCGCCGCCUCGCCGGGAAGGUGGAGGAGCCGCCGCUGCGACAGGGAGAGGUGCCCGGCCGGGGGAGGGCUACGCCAAGUGGGGUGGCGCUACGCCCACGGUGCCGAUUCGGCGGAUGAGAGGGGGGAGCUCCGGCGCCGAUGUGCUCGGUGGGUUGCGGGAGGACGCGGCGAGGUGUGGGGGAGAAAUCCCAAUGUGUUCGGGGGUGGGCAGAUGCGGGCGAGGUGUCGGUGUUGGAUUGUUGAGACCGGACAAAUCAACGUGAUUAAUUACUGGACUAGGUAGCGUACCCGUGCGUUGCGUACCCGUGCGUUGCUAUAUUUGGAUUAUUGCAUUCAGCGUCAACUAUAUUUGAUUCGUCCAUUAAGGCUAUAUCAUGCUAGAUCCCAGAUACACAAAUUGUGGUGGUACUUACCACAACAUGGGAUCCCUUAACAGCUUGAGCCCCGCUUCCUACCUUUGAUAUCAUAGUACCUAGUCAGAAAUUUGAUAAGUACUUUGCAGAUUCAGGCAAUAGAAAAGCAUGCUUCAUCUUUUCAGUGAAACAAGGAUCAACAAAAUGCCUGAUCUCUGAAUAAAGAUUUUAUGUCAGUGAAACGACCUAUUUUGAACUCUGAUUCAUACCCCCAAAACAGAACCAAAUUUCCCCCAAAAUGACAGCAACACAAACUAAAUCAGAUGAAGCGCUUACUUGUUGAGGCCACUGGGCAGGGUGGUGUCGUUGUCCUCGAUGUUGCCGAUCCUCUCAUGUGGUUCUGCCGGGUCAAUGGCGGAACUGACCGGAGGUGGGGGCAGCACACCUACGACAUUGGUGACUACGACAUCCCCGAGGAGUUCCGCACCCCCUCCACGCCCACGAAGAACGUCAUUCCCAACGUUGCGGCGCUGAUGGUGAAUUCAAUGUCUGUUAGGGCGGGUCGAGGACGACGAUUGGUGAUGGCGGCGCUGAUGGUGGGUUCUCGAGGAAUCGUCGAGGGCGGCGCUGAUGGCGGGCGCCGAGGAGGAUGAGAGGGGGCUCUGCGUCGAGGAGGCGGGCGCCGAGGAGGAUUCAUCGAGGAGGAUCUGGGAGGGGGCGCCGAGGAGGAUUCGUCGAGGAGGCGGUCGCCAAUUCGUCGAGGAGGAGGUGGGCGCUCUCCGUGGGGGCUUUGCGUGGGCGCUCUGCGUGGAGGAGAGCCGGGCGUCGCAGGAGCCGCGCGUCGCAGGAGGAAGGAGGCGGCUGCUCUCCGUGGGCGCUCUGCGUGGAGGAGAGCCGGGCGUCGCAGGAGCCGGGCGUCGCAGGAGGAAGGAGGCGGGCGCUUUCCUUUUUGUUGUGCGGAAGAGAGAGCCGGGCGUCGCAGGAGCCGCGCGUCGCAGGAGGCAGGACGAAAGCCCGAUGGACG